CGCUACGGACUUAAAUUUUGAGCCUUAGUAGAGAAAUUUACUAAGUGACUGUUUUCACAUUCAGGGAAACCUAAGGUUUGAGAUAUGAGGCAAUCCUGAGCCAAAGUUUAUUUAAUUAUGAAAUAGGUGCAGAGACUCGAAGGAAACUAUCCUAACGAAAAAUUUUUUCUCUAUUUUUUAUUAUUAGUAUUAUUUAAGUGUACAUAUUAAAAAUAUGUAAAAGAUCUGAAUACUAAAUAUUAAUAAUAAUGUCUAACUAAUUUUUAAUAGACGAGGAUAAAGAUAGAGUCCUUUUUUAUAAUCUAUAUAAUUUUUAUUUAUAGAUUAAAAAAGAAAAUCCGUUGGCUUUAAUAGACCUUGAGGGUUCAAGUCCCUCUACCCCCA
rnacentral:ncRNA from 1 species